rnacentral:rRNA from 1 species
UACGGAGGGUGCAAGCGUUAUCCGGAUUCACUGGGUUUAAAGGGUGCGUAGGCGGGCAGGUAAGUCCGUGGUGAAAUCUCUGAGCUUAACUCAGAAACUGCCAUGGAUACUAUUUGUCUUGAAUAUUGUGGAGGUGAGCGGAAUAUGUCAUGUAGCGGUGAAAUGCUUAGAUAUGACAUAGAACACCAAUUGCGAAGGCAGCUUGCUACACAGUUAUUGACGCUGAGGCACGAAAGCGUGGGGAUCAAACAGG